CGUCUGUGCUGAGGUGUAGCCCCACCCAUCUAUGGCCCCUCUGUGUCUCUGGGGGAAGGAGGCCUGGCACCCCCCACUUCUGCUCCAAGUCUUCCACCCUACAACAGAUGUUUGUGACUCAAACUGGGAAGAGCCAGGGGACCACCAGUGCAGAAGAGAUGACUCUUGAGAAGCUAAGUGAGGAGGCAUCUCUGCAGAUGAAGACAUGUGGGGAGGAACAGCAGCUGGUGGGGGACAUGGAUGGCUUUCUCCCAGAGGGUAUGACGCAAAGGGUUCUCCAGCAGAUAUCCUUGUACAAUUUCACCAUGACACCUAG